GACGAACGCUGGCGGCGUGCUUAACACAUGCAAGUCGAACGGAAAGGCCCUGCUUUUGUGGGGUGCUCGAGUGGCGAACGGGUGAGUAACACGUGAGUAACCUGCCCUUGACUUUGGGAUAACUUCAGGAAACUGGGGCUAAUACCGGAUAGGAGCUCCUGCUGCAUGGUGGGGGUUGGAAAGUUUCGGCGGUUGGGGAUGGACUCGCGGCUUAUCAGCUUGUUGGUGGGGUAGUGGCUUACCAAGGCUUUGACGGGUAGCCGGCCUGAGAGGGUGACCGGCCACAUUGGGACUGAGGUACGGCCCAGACUCCUACGGGAGGCAGCAGUGGGGAAUCUUGCACAAUGGGCGGACGCCUGAUGCAGCAACGCCGCGUGCGGGAUGACGGCCUUCGGGUUGUAAACCGCUUUCGCCUGUGACGAAGCGUGAGUGACGGUAAUGGGUAAAGAAGCACCGGCUAACUACGUG
rnacentral:rRNA from 1 species